rnacentral:rRNA from 1 species
CUAAGAAUAUUCCGCAAUGGGCGAAAGCCUGACGGAGCGACGCCGCGUGGAUGAAGAAGGCCGAAAGGUUGUAAAAUUCUUUUGCGGAUGAAGAAUAAGCGGCGGAGGGAAUGCCGUCGCGAUGACGCAAGUCCGCGAAUAAGCCCCGGCUAAUUACGUGCCAGCAGCCGCGGUAACACGUAAGGGGCGAGCGUUGUUCGGAAUUAUUGGGCGUAAAGGGCGCGUAGGCGGUUAGUCAAGUCUGACGUGAAAUGCAUGAGCUUAACUCAUGAACUGCGUUGGAAACUGAAAAACUAGAGUCACGGAGGGGGAAUCGGAAUUCCUGGUGUAGGGGUGAAAUCUGUAGAUAUCAGGAAGAACACCGGUGGCGAAGGCGGAUUUCCAGCCGAUGACAGACGCUGAGGCGCGAAAGUGCGGGGAGCAAACAGGAUUAGAUACCCUGGUAGUCCGCACUAUAAACGAUGCACACUAGGUGUCGGG